ensembl:lncRNA
GUUUGCCCACAUUAUCUCAAGUAUACUGUCAAACUUUCCCCUUUAGAUUUGAUUGAGUGAGGAUGAGAAGGAACCAAUUUUCUAGAAAUACAAAUGCAUAGAAAUGGAUUAACCAUCCAGAGGGGUCCACUUCUGCUGGCAAAGCAAAAUUAAUGUUCUAAGAAAAAAAUUCAGGGGAGUAUCUCUUAUUGUUCCAUGUACUCAUUUUCUUGUUAACUCUCUUUUGUGAUUUUUCUGAAUCAGACAAAUUUUGGGGAGGCAGAUUAAAGGGUGCAAAAUGAAGACUAUUUAACAAAUUACCCAGUCCUCAUAAACAGGUUCACACUGUGCAUUAUUUAGUGUCAAAAUUUCAGCUAUGGUGAAGCUAACUUCAAUUAUUUUUGGCAUGCUUUAGUUCUAUCCCAUCUGCAUGGUUCAAAGAAAUUUAUCACUUUUUACCACCAGGCACUUAGGAAGAAAACUACUUAUUCUCUCAUGUAGGCAUAAAGGAAAAGCAAGAAGCAACAUCGGCUGUCUGCCUUCCACUCCUCUUUCUCCUGACUUCGGGACAAGGGACACCCUGAGAUCGGGACCUAUUUUCUAGGUGGAAAUCUCUUACCCAAAGUCACUGCUCCUUCUGGAUCAGAGUGUAGAACUCGGCUCUCCCCUUCCUGUGUCUAGGAAAGCCCAAGGACAGAGCUGCUCAUGAGGCCAUGUGCUGAUGAUACAUAUGAGAAGUUCCGGGGUCCAACAAGGACCCCUUCCAUGCCUGCCCUUCCAAUCUUGCCCCCUAAACCAGAACCAGGUUCCUACUGCCCAUCUCUUCCAUGUUUGUAAACAGGACUAUUCUUCCCUAGAAGCUGAGUUCAGCUGGGGAGGGCUUUCUUUUGGCUAGGUUCUGCUGGGGAAUUAUACAAAGUUAUAUGUUGAUUUGUGACACACUUGGUGCCAAAAUAUAAUCACUAUUUGAACAUCUUUUCUUUUUCUCUUAAAUUAUGUUUUUAAAGGGAGAAGAAACAUUUGUAUGAGAAUGUUCCCAGGCACAGGCAGAAGUAGAACUUUAAAAAUAUUCUCUUUGCUGUGAUUACUAAUGUUUUGUUGACUCUGACCAAACACGUGUACUGCACAAAGUUAGGCCUAUUUAAGAAAAGAGGGGUUAAAAAAAAGUCCACAUCAAGAACUGUCUUUUAGAGCAGGAAUGAGACCAAUUAACGUUUCCACUUAUUUACGCCAGUGAUGUUUUAGCAUUUUUUUAUAGGUCCCGCCCCACUCCCUGUCCACCCCUGGAAGCUACAGAGCUGGCGUGCUAUUUAAUCCAGUCGUCGACAUUGAAGUCACGGGGUUCUCAAGGCAUCAAUUUGAAGGACACUGGAAACUCCUCAGAAUGUUUUUUCUUAUCUAGGAAGAUUUUUCUAAGACUAAAAUGCAGAGAGCUGCUUUUAUUAUACCUUAAAAUGAAUAGCCUUUUAGAUCUUAGAUUUAGAAAUAGUGUUCAUUUGGGGGCUUCUUAGUAAUCAUUGCCUGAGGGGCUCCUUGAAUGGAUGAAUGAUGAAAAGAAGUCUGAGUGAUCGUCGAGGCUACUUAGAGAGGAGUGGACUCUGCUGGUAGCAUCCUCGUGGGAGGAUAGCUAUGACUAGCACUGUGAACAUAACUCAUGAAGACCUGUUUCUAGAAGAUCCUCUCACUUGAGGAGGAUGAGUUGGGGUUUGGGAGGUAGUGAGACUGACAAGAUUGACUGAUUCUUGGGGACUUCCCUGUGCAGUGGUUAGGACUCUGAGCUUCCACUGCAGGGGGCAUGGUUCCAUUCCUAGUUGGGGAAGUAGGAUCUCACAUGCUGUAGCACAGCAAAAAGAAAAAAAAAAAAUUAAAAUAGUUUUGAAACACAUCAAGUUGAUUGAUUCUUGUCACCACUCAUCCAUCCCUUCCCCUGUUGAGGACUUCUGUGAGAGAAUCAUGGCUGAGUCCCCAGUUACCCUCGAGGUCAGCUCCAAGGGCCUUCGGGGAAAAGCCAGAUUCUGCCUCCUCAGCUUUAAUUUCCAAGCCGCAGGCCUCCCUGGCUCACUCCACGUACUCCCUCAGAGUGACACAGUGACAGGGUGGGGUGGGUGGGGGCUGCUACAAGUUGAGCCUUCGCCAGAACUUGGUCCACAAGCCUAUAAUUUCCACAGGUUUGAUGGGCUCCAGUUCCUGAAAAGUAACAGCAGUAUUUGAACAGUGUAUUGUUUCCCAAACUUCAGUCAUUAGUACAGUCACAGCAUAAUUUUUGCUAUUUCUGGGGUCCUCUAUUAUUUCUGUAUAUUUAAGAUAAUAAAAAUAAUAAAUUAUGUAUAUUUAAAAAUAAUUUCUGACUGAACAAAAAAUAACUUCACCACUUAAAAGAUAUAUUUUAAAAGGAAAAAUUUUAUGUCAUCUGCAUAGUUGAAAUACUAGUCCCACUUGCUCUAAAGAGAAGCUUUCAGCAGAAGUAAAUACAAUGAAAAUGAAACAAUAUGAUUAAAGUUGAGCUCUGAGGCUGCCUGCCUAAAGCCCUGGGCCUAAGGUAUGCGACUUCUUUACUUAAACAAGAGAGGGAGGGAGGAAGAGAGAAACAGAGAGGGGAAAGUGAAAGAGGGGUGUUUGGGCUUUACUAGCACCAAAGUCAGACUUUCAAUAUGAUGUAAUCGGAAGGACUAAAGGAAACUGAAGAGAGAGUACUUUCUCAUUUUACGGUCUAAUAUUAUUGCCUAUUCAGUGUUCUACUUAGGUCAUCCUAUAGGUAGGCAGCGUGCAAAGUACUCUAGCUGAGCAGUUACAGGAUCUUAAGAAGUUAAGAUGAGGGACUUCCCCGGUGGUGCAAGCAGGGUCCAGGUUUGAUCCCUGGUCAGGGAACUAGAUCCCACAUGCUGCAAUUAAAGACCCCAUAUGCCACAACAAAGAUCAAAGAUCCAGAGUGCAACAACUAAGACCCAGCUGCUGCUGCUAAGUCGCUUCAGUCGUGUCCAACUCUGUGCGACCCCAGAGACAGCAGCCCACCAGGCUCUCCUGUCCCUGGGAUUCUCCAGGCAAGAACACUGGAGAACUGCCUAUCUAUUUUCCACAUGGGUUGGUUAUACCAUUUUGCAUUUCAAUCAGCGAUGUACAAAGGUUCCAAUUUCUCUGUAUCAUUGUCAUCACAUGUUAUUUUCUGGGGUUUUUGUUUGUUUGUUAAAUUGUAGCCAUUUUAGAGAGAUGGACUAACUAACUUUGACUGAACACUAACUCUCCAUUUCUUCUCUGAUUAAUUCUCCACUCAGCAGCCAAAUUAAUCUUUCCAAAAUGCACCUCUGAUCACAUCAUCUGCUUUUUUGAUCCCAAUCUCUUAGGAUGAAGACAAAAAGCAUCCCAAGUCCUCCAGACUUUGACCUGGUCCUUGUCUGGCCUUUCAACCGGCACCAUUCCACCUAGGCCUUUUCAGAAAGCAUCCUCUUGCCAGAGCAUGGAGAGUUCCCUCUGCCUGGAAUGCUCCCUUCCUACAUCCUCAAAGCUUAGCUCAGGCUUCAUUCUCCAGGAAAGCCACCCCCCACCAGGCCAGGGGGCUUGUCCUUAGCUCUUAGAGCACUGUGCAUUUCGCCUUUUUAACACCUUCUCCUGUUUGCAGUUACAUAUUUAUUCAUGUCAUUAUUUGGUCCUGUUGGAGAGCUCCACCUUCACUCUGCAGAACAGUCAGCAAUGAGGCCUUGGACACUCCUUGAACCUGGAGCAAUUGUCUUUCCCCUUUUCCAUUCAGUCCAACGAAGGAGGAUGAAUUUUCCUUUCUCUGCAUUCCUUUGCCCGGAGAACAACUUUUCCUUCCUCAAAACCUCAUCAAGCAUGCAGGGUUGUCUGCUGGGUUUGCUUGAUUCU